rnacentral:tRNA from 1 species
AGAAUAGCUCAGUUGGUAGAGCACAACCUUGCCAAGGUUGGGGUCGCGGGUUCGAGUCCCGUUUCUC